rnacentral:tRNA from 1 species
AUUUAAAUAGUUUAAUAAAAUAUUAGUUUGUGGGACUAAAGAUAGAUUUUAAAAUCUUUUAAAUA